AUUGAACGCUGGCGGCAGGCCUAACACAUGCAAGUCGAGCGAGCGGCGGACGGGUGAGUAAUGUCUGGGAAACUGCCCGCUGGAGGGGGAUAACUACUGGAAACGGUAGCUAAUACCGCAUACCCUCAGAUGUGCCCCCAUGGGAUUAGCUAGCAGGUGGGGUAACGGCUCACCUAGGCGACGAUCCCUAGCUGGUCUGAGAGGAUGACCAUCCACACUGGAACGGAGACACGGUCCAGACUCCUACGGGAGGCAGCAGUGGGGAAUAUUGCACAAUGGGCGCAAGCCUGAUGCAGCCAUGCCGCGUGUGUGAAGAAGGCCUUCGGGUUGUAAAGCACUUUCAGCGGGGAGGCGUUACCCGCAGAAGAAGCACCGGCUAACUCCGUGCCAGCAGCCGCGGUAAUAC
rnacentral:rRNA from 1 species